GACAGAGGAGCCAAGCGUUGUCCGGAUUGACUGGGCGUAAAGCGCACGCAGGCGGCCCGGCGCGUGGGGUGUGAAAGCUGGCGGCUUAACUGCCAGACGCCAUCCCAUACGGCUGGGCUCGAGCCCUGCAGAGGUCCAUGGAAUUGCCGGUGUAGUGGUGAAAUGCGUAGAGAUCGGCAGGAACACCCAGGGGGAAACCAGUGGACUGGGCAGGAGCUGACGCUGCAGGUGCGAAAGCGUGGGGAGCGAACCGG
rnacentral:rRNA from 1 species